rnacentral:rRNA from 1 species
CUUAAAGCCGUUCUCAGUUCGGACUGUAGGCUGCAACUCGCCUACACGAAGCUGGAAUCGCUAGUAAUCGCGGAUCAGCACGCCGCGGUGAAUACGUUCCCGGGCCUUGUACACACCGCCCGUCACACCAUGAGAGUCUGUAACACCCAAAGCCGGUGGGAUAACCUUUAUAGGAGUCAGCCGUCUAAGGUAGGACAGAUGAUUAGGGUGAAGUCGUAACAAGGUAAC